UACGGAGGGUGCAAGCGUUAUCCGGAUUCACUGGGUUUAAAGGGUGCGUAGGUGGGCAGGUAAGUCAGUGGUGAAAUCUCCGGGCUUAACCCGGAAACUACCAUUGAUACUAUCUGUCUUGAAUACCGUGGAGGUGAGCGGAAUAUGUCAUGUAGCGGUGAAAUGCUUAGAUAUGACAUAGAACACCAAUUGCGAAGGCAGCUCACUACGCGAAUAUUGACACUGAGGCACGAAAGCGUGGGGAUCAAACAGG
rnacentral:rRNA from 1 species